CUCACAGUGAAUUGCAGAGUCCCCUCAGAGGGCACGUGAACAUCUCCCAAUUUCUCCAAGGUACCCCUGUGUGCAACUCCUUCCUGCUCCUUUGCUGGAACUUUCUGCCAUCUGUGUCCUUAGGAGGAGCCUUUCUUCCAGGAGGACUGGACUUAGAGGAGGACCUGCCAUGAUGUCUGUAGCUGCUCCCUCAGCUUCUCUUGCCUCAUCAGCCUUCUGAGA